rnacentral:rRNA from 1 species
UACAGAGGUCCCGAGCGUUGUUCGGAUUCACUGGGCGUAAAGGGUGCGUAGGCGGUCGGGUAAGUCUGAUGUGAAAUCUCACAGCUUAACUGUGAAACUGCAUUGGAUACUAUUCGGCUUGAGAGUUGGAGGGGGGACUGGAAUUCUCGGUGUAGCAGUGAAAUGCGUAGAUAUCGGGAGGAACACCGGUGGCGAAGGCGGUUCUCUGGGCCUGUACUGACGCUGAGGAGCGAAAGCGUGGGGAGCGAACAGG